UAGACGGGUGAAAAAAUGUAACAAGUUUUAGUAGUAGUGAUGAUACGAUUGCACGCUAUUUUCCUACAGAGACAACCCCCAAAAAAUGCAGCAUGGAGACAUGUGGCCGAGAUAGUUGGUGAAAACGCAAAGUCUGGUGACAUUUUAUUAGUAAAAAGACAAGGAGAACAGGACAGGUGAGAGAGGAGAGGAAGUGGACAAGAUAGGGAGGACAGGAGGUGAUUUUUAAGAAAGGAGACACAAAAAGACCAGAGAAAAGACUAAGGAGAGAAACUUGAUCAGAAUGGAGAAGAACAUGAGACAAAGGAGACAGACCAGACAAAGACCAAAAAGUGAC